AAGUUUUAGUCUGUACUUACUGAAAAAUUGCUAGUGCUUUUUAUGUAGCCUGUUGUAAAACUAGGCAAAUAUCUAGAUGAGUUGAUGUACCCCCUGGAAGGCCUCUGUGUACCCCUAGUUUAGAACCAC